CAUGGACAAAUGGCUGCUGUAUUUCUAAGA
rnacentral:piRNA from 1 species